rnacentral:rRNA from 1 species
ACGGCUCAGUAACACGUGGACAACCUACCCUUAGGUCUGGGAUAACCCCGGGAAACUGGGACUAAUACCGGAUAUAUCGCAAAGGCUGGAAUGCAUCGCGAUAGAAAGCUCCGACGCCUAAGGAUGGGUCUGCGGCCUAUCAGGGUAGUAGUGGGUGUAACGUACCUACUAGCCUACGACGGGUACGGGUUGUGAGAGCAAGAUCCCGGAGAUGGAUUCUGAGACACGAAUCCAGGCCCUACGGGGUGCAGCAGGCGCGAAAACUUUACAAUGCUGGCAACAGCGAUAAGGGGACCUCGAGUGCCAGGAUACAAUCCUGGCUGUCGUAAUGUCUAAAAAACAUUGCAUAGCAAGGGCCGGGCAAGACCGGUGCCAGCCGCCGCGGUAACACCGGCGGCUCGAGUGGUAACCGUUAUUAUUGGGUCUAAAGGGUCUGUAGCCGGCUGACUAAGUCUCUUGGGAAAUCUGGCCGCUCAACGGUCAGGCUUUCAGGAGAUACUGAUCGGCUCGAGACCGGGAGAGGUGAGAGGUACCUCAGGGGUAGGGGUGAAAUCUUGUAAUCCUUGAGGGACCACCAGUGGCGAAGGCGUCUCACCAGAACGGAUCUGACGGCAAGGGACGAAAGCUAGGGGCACGAACCGGAUUAGAUACCCGGGUAGUCCUAGCCGUAAACGAUACUCGCUAGGUGUCGGCCACGGUGCGACCGUGGUCGGUGCCGUAGGGAAGCCGUGAAGCGAGCCACCUGGGAAGUACGGCCGCAAGGCUGAAACUUAAAGGAAUUGGCGGGGGAGCAC